ACUCAUGGACGAAUUCAUGAGUGCAGUUGAACCAAACCUACAUAUGGCAAAGAACUUAUGUAAUACAAGCUCAAUACAUAUCCACUUCAUCAACACCAUAACAAGAAGUAACAUCAUCUGUUUUUGCACAUUUAAUACAUUUAUAUGUAAAUUAUUUAUUCGUGUCAAUUUCCUGCGUCAUAAAUAAAAAUUAUGUAAGGAGGAGCGAAGAAAGUAACUAUAAACCUGGAGCUUAAUUAAAUAUCCUAUUGUGAAUUUUUCCAUUGUUUUUGGAAAAUCGGGCCUUGUCAUGGACCCCAUUCUCAUAAUUUUGGUGUGCUACGCCGUCCUACUCUUGUUCUUCGGUUUGUGGACUUUUAGCUUAAUGGCGAGAGAUAAAAGGGCCGCGGAAAGUAGCAUGUGGCGAAUUUCAGAGUGCAAACUGCACACCCUGGAAUUGUUCGGAGGAUGGUUUGGAAGUCUGAUGGCGCAAGUGUGUUACCGUCACAAGAAUAAGAAAUGUUCGUACCAGAUCAUAUUUUGGAUUAUCGUCGCUGCUCACGUGGCUGGAAUCGGUGCCGUGUUUUUUGGAAGGGAGAAAAUCAGGGAUUUAUUUACGAACAGUUGAGGAGAAUAACUUAACGCUUUGAAUUACAACUUAAUUAUGCAUUUGUAACAAAUAAAUGACAUUUCAGAUUUAACAA